GACGUAGGGGGCGAGCGUUGUCCGGAUUUAUUGGGCGUAAAGAGCGCGUAGGCGGCCCGUUAAGUCGGAUGUGAAAACCCGUGGCUCAACCACGGGCCUGCAUCCGAUACUGGCGGGCUCGAGGCAGGCAGGGGAGAUCGGAAUUCCUGGUGUAGCGGUGAAAUGCGUAGAUAUCGCUUGGAACGCCGAAGGUGAAAACAGGCUGCUGGGGUUGCGCCGACGCUGAGACACGAAAGCCAGGGGAGCAAACGGG
rnacentral:rRNA from 1 species